UUUUAAGGACAGCCUUAUCUCUGCAAAUUGGGUGAUUCUUUGAAGUUCUAUAUCUAAAAAGGAGAAAAUGAACAAGAAAAGAUUUAUUUCCCUCUUUGUUUACUUGCUAGAUAUGAGAAACUAACAAUCAUUUAUCUGUCUUUCUUUCUGGCAGCUUCUUCCUUUCUUCCAAAUAAUUGACAUUAUUACACAGACAUAUCUGUCUAUGUAAAUAUAGACACAGAGCUUGCAGGACAAUGGCUCAACAAUGCUGAUAAAGAAAAACAGUGACAACAGAGCCCAGGCCUUAGUUUUAUGGCUUUUCUGUCAAUUCUCUUUAGCAAUGUAUAUGCAGGCAGUUACUUGUCAGUUACAUUGCCUGUUUUCAUAGCUGAGACUUAUUUUAAUGUAAUUAAUAUAAUUUCUGCAAAGCAAAAGUGAAAGCAUUUCUUUUCACAUCUAGGAUGAAGGAUGUUUAUUUAGGAAGAUGGGAAAUUAGGCAAAGGAAUGAAUCAGACAAAAAGUUGAAAUUCCCAGCUGGGUCCUCCUGUCUCUUCUCAGACAUGGAAAUCAGCAGAAAUGAUUAUAUUUCCUUUAAUGAAAGAAAAAGAGUUAAUGUUCAGAUCAAAAGUAUGCCUGUGGUUAGGCAGUGUGAUUUAAGGUUUCUGGAAUGAGGCAAGUUUGUUGCCAAAUAUGGGGAAUUUCUUCCUAAAUUGCAUCACAGUUUCUCAGAGAGGUUAUUUUCAGUUAGAAUGAAAGGGUUAGGUGUUGACUCCAGUUUCUUAAACUAUGAAGGCUGAGCUGUGUCAGUGUUAGGCAGUGAGAUUUGAUGUUUUGCUGUCUUUUAGGUGAAGCCUGGUAGCCCAGGUGAAAAGAUGUGUAUGUGCCGACUGGUGUGCAGCUUUGCAUGCUGACAGAGGUGCGGAGCAGCAUGGGUGACACAUGGGACACGUUCCCUCACUCUGCACAAUUACCCAGGGUUGUUUUUUGCCAGCUCCUCCAGCUGAACUGACUCACCCUAUGGCGUUGCAGGUGGGACAAGGGAGGAACGGGAUAGCUACUUUCCACAGCAGUGCUCUCACUUAUCACUCUAGGUGCAACCUGAAACCAAAAUCUUACUUCAAAGAGACUUUUAUCAGCCAUCUAAACUACUACAUCCUGGGUGAGAUGCUUCAUUUUACAAAAGUUUAACGCCCUGCCCACCUUGGGUCAGGCGCGAUCUGCUGAGAUCCCCUGAGGCCUGUCCAGCUGACAGCUGCACGCUUUGCCAGGGGGUUCUCAAAGUGAUCACAGAGCAGGACAUCGGUCAGGUGAAGUGCUCUCAGUCCUGCUGCCUGCUCCUUGUGCUUGCUGCUAGGCUGCAGCCUCGGCCCAGGAACAGGAUGUGAUAUGGACCUGUGCCAUGUCCCAUACACAAGCAUCCUGCAUCUGACUCGAUAGCAGCAGUACCUGCGAAUUGGAGUGUGGUGCUGCCCCAUCCCCCACGUGUUUUAAAUAAUUGGUGGUUUGUCUACUUGUGUGUUGUAUAAGGCAGACAGACUCGGUUCUGUUCCUUUUCUUUCCCUCUGUGGCCACGUGUCUUCUGCAUUUCAGUCACUGCAGGGAUCUUGCUUCAUCAGUAGGAACGAGGACUAGUCCCAUCCUGACUAUCGUGUGGUCUGGAAAAUGUGGGUGGGUAUCCCUUCAGGCUAUGGAGCAACCUGGAAAUGAGGAAAGGCUGCCGUGGAUGUCUCAGUGAGCUCACAAGGUGCAGAGCAGGGUGAGCUGCCAAUGUGCGUCAGAUGGCGGACAUCCCUUACAGUCCUCUGCAUGUCUUUAAUGGAAUUACUUACCUUGCGUGUGCACAGAUACUUGGGGCAGACGUGGCCAAAUUGUCAUCAAGAAUAAAGAAAUCUAAGAUAAAAACA
rnacentral:lncRNA from 1 species